UAAAGGUUAUCCCAAUUAGUACCUAUAGGCAAUUACCUACUCCAGUCCAUUGUUAUUGAAAAAGUAAUCUAAGAGUAAGUAAGAUAAGAUUACAUAUCGAACGAACCCAAAACUAUAUAGGUAUACAAUAGUAGCUUUCGUAGUGAAUACGACACGUACCUAUAUGGUUCUACACCGAUCUGUACACUAUUGUAUACUGAACAAAUAAUAUUACGACUAAUAUUAAAAAUUAAUAUUAAAACUUUAAAAAUGCCAAAAAUUAAGUCAACAGUAGGAAGCCGUUUACGUAGUUUUGUGAGUGAGUUUGGUGCCGAUAUUUUUUCUACGGACGGUAUGGUGCUUUUUUGUAAAGUGUGUAAUGUUGCAGUUGCCUCCGAAAAGAAAUUUACAAUUCAACAGCACAUCAUCUAAUUGUGCAAUGCAAUAAUAUGUGUACAGAAUAAUUAUACCAGGAAGCGGUUGAAUUCACAAGUCAAAUUUAUACCUAUUUUAUUCAUAAAUCAUAAUUAUUAAUUAAUAUUUUAAAAAUAAAUUUUUUCACUCAUCUAAGUA